rnacentral:rRNA from 1 species
UAACAGAGGGUUUGAUUCUGGCUCAGAUUGAACGCUGGCGGGAUGCUUUACACAUGCAAGUCGAACGGCGGCACCGGACUUCGGUCUGGUGGCGAGUGGCGAACGGGUGAGUAAUGUAUCGGAACGUGCCUAGUAGCGGGGGAUAACUACGCGAAAGCGUAGCUAAUACCGCAUACGCCCUUCGGGGAAAGCGGGGGGCCUUCGGGCCUCGCACUAUUAGAGCGGCCGAUAUCGGAUUAGCUAGUUGGUGGGGUAACGGCUCACCAAGGCGACGAUCCGUAGCUGGUUUGAGAGGACGACCAGCCACACUGGGACUGAGACACGGCCCAGACUCCUACGGGGAGGCAGCAGUGGGGAAUUUUGGACAAUGGGGGGAAACCCUGAUCCAGCCAUCCCGCGUGUGCGAUGAAGGCCUUCGGGUUGUAAAGCACUUUUGGCAGGAAAGAAAGAAACGGCACGGGAUAAUACCCCGUGCAACUGACGGUACCUGCAGAAUAAGCACCGGCUAACUACGUGCCAGCAGCCGCGAUAAUACGUAGGGUGCAAGCGUUAAUCGGAAUUACUGGGCGUAAAGCGUGCGCAGGCGGUUCGGAAAGAAAGAUGUGAAAUCCCAGAGCUUAACUUUGGAACUGCAUUUUUUUAACUUUGCGAGCUAGAGUGUGUCAGAGGAGGUGGAAUUCCGCGUGUAGCAAGUGAAAUGCGUAGAUAUGCGGAGGAACACCGAUGCCCGAAGGCAGCCUCCUGGGAUAACACUGACGCUCAUGCACGAAAGCGUGGGGAGCGAGCAGGAUUAGAUACCCUGGUAGUCCACGCCCUAAACGAUGUCAACUAGCUGUUGGGGCCUUCGGGCCUUGGUAGCGCAAUAACGCGUGAAGUUGACCGCCUGGGGGAGUACGGUCGCAGAUUAAAACUCAAAGGAAUUGACGGGGACCCGCACAAGCGGUGGAUGAUGCGGAUUAAUUCGAUGCAACGCGAAAAACCUUACCUACCCUUGACAUGUCUGGAAUCCCGAAAGAGAGAUUUGGGAGUGCUCGCAAGAGAACCGGAACACAGGUGCUGCAUGGCCAUCGUCAGCUCGUGUCGUGAAUCAGGUUAAGUCCCGCAACGAGCGCAACCCUUGUCAUUAGUUGCUACGAAGAGGCACUCUAAUGAGACUGCCGGUGACAAACCGGAGGAAGGUGGGGAUGACGUCAAGUCCUCAUGGCCCUUAUGGGUAGGGCUUCACACGUCAUACAAUGGUCGGGACAGAGGUCGCCAACCCGCGAGGGAGAGUAAUCCCAGAAACCCGAUCAUCGUCCGGAUCGCAGUCUGCAACUCGACUGCGUGAAGUCGGAAUCGCUAGUAAUCGCGGAUCAGCAUGUCGCGGUGAAUACGUUCCCGGGUCUUGUACACACCGCCCGUCACACCAUGGGAGUGGGUUUUACCGAAGUAGUUAGCCUAACCGUAAGGAGGCGAUUACCACGGUAGGAUUCAUGACUGGGGUGAAGUCGUAACAAGGUAG